rnacentral:rRNA from 1 species
GAUGAACGCUAGCGAUAGGCCUAACACAUGCAAGUCGAGGGGCAUCACAUGAAGGAGCAAUCUGAGGUGGCGACCGGCGCACGGGUGAGUAACACGUAUGCAACCUGCCUGUAAGCGGGGGAUAACCCGUUGAAAGACGGACUAAUACCGCAUAAUACUGGAGAUCUGCAUGGAUAUUCAGUUAAACAUUUAUGGCUUACAGAUGGGCAUGCGCAUGAUUAGAUAGUUGGAGAGGUAACGGCUCCCCAAGUCAACGAUCAUUAGGGGGUUCUGAGAGGAAGGUCCCCCACACUGGUACUGAGACACGGACCAGACUCCUACGGGAGGCAGCAGUGAGGAAUAUUGGUCAAUGGGCGAGAGCCUGAACCAGCCAAGUCGCGUGCAGGAAGAAUGUCCUAUGGAUUGUAAACUGCUUUUGUCAGGGGAAGUAAAGUGAGCCACGUGUUGGUUUUUGUUAGUACUCUGCG